UACGUAGGGCGCGAGCGUUGUCCGGAAUUAUUGGGCGUAAAGAGCUCGUAGGCGGCCUGUUGCGUCCGCUGUGAAAUCCCAGGGCUCAACCCUGGGCCUGCAGUCGAUACGGGCAGACUGGAGUUCGGCAGGGGAGACUGGAAUUCCUGGUGUAGCGGUGAAAUGCGCAGAUAUCAGGAGGAACACCGGUGGCGAAGGCGGGUCUCUGGGCCGGUACCGACGCUGAGGAGCGAAAGCGUGGGGAGCGAACAGG
rnacentral:rRNA from 1 species